CCUAUUUUCAGUAAAUUGUUUGAGAUUUUGAUAUUGAAAGGACUAUUUGAUGUGAUAUUCUGUGAAAAUGAUGAUCAGAGGUUCAGUAUGUGCUGGCCAUGUUGCAAAAUAUUAGCAUUUGUUCAUAGCCUCCUAUUGUUGUUAUCAGGUUAGUGUCUAGCAUCAGUAUUUGGUAAUUUUGAUGACUGAAAAAUGGUAGUGGCAUUUGAUGUUGAAGGAAUAUGAUAACUAUUUAAAUAUCAUUUCUUGCCUUUUAGAGGACAUAUAUAUUUUUUCCUCUGGCAGAAUUUCCGUUAAAGCUGGUCAUGCAUUGGAUAUAAAUGAAAAGCUCUGGAAAUAGUCAACAGGAUAGUUGUUUUUCUAUUUUAUUUAUUGAAUGCUGUCUCAGUUAUGCCAAUAUAUCUAAUAUGGUGAUCAGUUAAAUGUCUUACUGCCUUUUCUUCUCUUAUAAUCUUCUUUAUGUUGUUUUCUCCAGAAGUUAGUAAAGUGCAGUUCUUUAUUUGUUUUGUUGUGAUAUCCAAAGAAAUAUUUUAUCAGGGUUUUCCCUAAUUCUCCUGCAUGCUAUGCUAUGGUCGUAAAUUUGCCAUUUCUCUACAGUCGUGUUAGACCCAUUAAAGUCACACUGUUUGACACUAUAUUUUAUCAUCUGGUGAUAAAUGAGUUACCACAUUUGUGAAGUUGACAUCACAGAGUUGUGCAUCUCUAAGUGGUCUCCGCACAUGCCGCGAUGUCUUUUAAGUAUUUUUCUCCACAGAUGCUUUCUAUAGCUGGCUUUUGUGUUCUUGAUAACGUAUCAGCUCUCUGCAGCUAGGAUUUCCAGCCGAAGAGGACUUCAUUGUUUGUUAAUUGAGCUUGCUACUCUCCGUGUGGUUCUUCGAUACGAAAACAAGACACUGGUUGAAGAAGAAACCUGUAUCAAACUUUGUGUGGAUGUUGGUUGCUUGGCAGGCCUGUUUACAAAUUGAAGGCUGCUUUGAUGCUUUAAACUCUCGAUAUGUUCUUGGGAGUGACAGCAGUAAAGCUGGUUCUUUGAAGUAUAGAGAUCUUGUCGCCCUGCGAAGGCGACAAAGCCGUCGCCUACAACCCGGACGAACCCUUUGGUUUGGCACCAGCCUCGUCCCCAUCCUCUAGGUGCUCAAUGAAAGUUCCCUAUGAAUCCCACCCGCCUGUCUUCGGUGAGCAUUACCCACAAACCCAGUUUUUUCUUUUGAAGUUUCGUAUGGUUUCUCAUCCAUGGAUCUAGAUACUUCAGAUGAUGCUACAAUAUGGUGGAAUUUUUGGGAUUGAAACUCCAAGGACUCUAACAUGCAUGAUUUAAGCUAAAAUAAGUUAAGGGUAUUGGUGUUAGCCUACACUGGUGGGAUUUUGCCUAGGGGUGACUAUGAUUCGGUUUAAACUGGAAUUGAAUUAGCCUGGAACCAAACCGAAUCAUGUCAACGGUUCAACAGUUUCGAAACGAACUGGGAUCGAGGCCGUACGGUUCGGUUCCGGUUUCGAACUGGGCUAAAUAUGAAAAAAAAAACC